rnacentral:rRNA from 1 species
UACGAAGGGGGCUAGCGUUGUUCGGAAUCACUGGGCGUAAAGGGCGCGUAGGCGGCUUUAUAAGUCGGGGGUGAAAGCCUGUGGCUCAACCACAGAAUUGCCUUCGAUACUGUAGAGCUUGAGACCGGAAGAGGUAAGUGGAACUGCGAGUGUAGAGGUGAAAUUCGUAGAUAUUCGCAAGAACACCAGUGGCGAAGGCGGCUUACUGGUCCGGUUCUGACGCUGAAGCGCGAAAGCGUGGGGAGCAAACAGG